AUACGUAGGGUGCAAGCGUUAAUCGGCAUUACUGGGCGUAAAGCGUGCGCAGGCGGUUUUGUAAGCCAGAGGUGAAAUACCCGGGCUCCACCUGGGAACUGCCUUUGUGACUGCAAGGCAUGAGUGCGGCAGAGGGGGGUGGACUUCCGCGUGUAGCAGGGGAAUGCGUAGAAAUGCGGAGGAACACCGGCGGCGAAGGCAAUCCCCUGGGCCUGUACUGACGCUCAUGCACGAAAGCGUGGGGAGCAAACAGGAUUAGAUACCCUGGUAGUCCACGCCCUAAACGAUGUCAACUGGUUGUUGGGUCUUCAUUGACUCAGUAACGAAGCUAACGCGUGAAGUUGACCGCCUGGGGAGUACGGCCGCAAGGUUGAAACUCAAAUGAAUUGACGGGG
rnacentral:rRNA from 1 species